rnacentral:misc_RNA from 1 species
UCAACGCGAGCUGAUGACUCG